AACGCGAAGAACCUUACCUGGGCUCGAAGCGCAGUGGACCGGGGUAGAAAUAUCCCUUCCUCGCAAGAGGCUGCUGCGGAGGUGCUGCAUGGCUGUCGUCAGCUCGUGUCGUGAGAUGUUGGGUUAAGUCCCGCAACGAGCGCAACCCUUAUCCCUAGUUGCCAUCGGGUCAAGCCGGGCACUCUAGUGAAACCGCCCAGGAUAACUGGGAGGAAGGUGGGGAUGACGUCAAGUCCUCAUGGCCUUUAUGUCCAGGGCUACACACGUGCUACAAUGGUCGGUACAAACCGUCGCAAACCCGCGAGGGGGAGCUAAUCGGAAAAAGCCGGCCUCAGUUCGGAUUGGAGUCUGCAACCCGACUCCAUGAAGCUGGAAUCGCUAGUAAUCGCGGAUCAGAACGCCGCGGUGAAUACGUUCCCGGGCCUUGUAACACCGGCUAC
rnacentral:rRNA from 1 species